UAGUGAGUUUGAUCCUGGCUCAGGAUGAACGCUGGCGGUCUGCUUAACACAUGCAAGUCGAACGCAAGUAGAAAUACUUGAGUGGCGGACGGGUGAGUAACGCGUGAGAAUCUGCCUUCUGGUCGGGGACAACCACUGGAAACGGUGGCUAAUACCGGAUAUGCCUAUGGGUGAAAGAUUAAUCGCUUUGAGAGGGGCUCGCGUCCGAUUAGCUAGUUGGUGAGGUAAACGGCUUACCAAGGCAGCGAUCGGUAGCUGGUCUGAGAGGACGAGCAGCCACACUGGGACUGAGAC
rnacentral:rRNA from 1 species